UAUGUUCUUAUGCAACAGGAUAUAACUGAAGCAGACAUACUGGAAAAAUGACUCUAGCCACAUGGUCGCCACAACCUGUAUUUUUUUAUGUAUCUUAGACGAGCUGUAAGAUUAGGUAGGUGUAUCGGUUACUUGCUUGUUUGGGGAAUCGCUUCGAAGAUCCUUGAGCGAAGCACACGAAAGGUCUUUCGCAUUCAUCAGUCAGGAUUUUUACGAAAUUACGAAGGAUUAAAAUUGCAUGGAUUUGUUUUGCACAACCACCAUCAGCCUUUUCUGGCAUCGAACUGGCCGUUAUUAUUCAGUCGACCUUUGUCAUUUUGUGAAACGAAAAUGAACAUCUUGUCACUUCAAUACUGCAACAACGAAACUGAGACGGUACCCGUCGAAAGUAUUUUUGCCCAGAAUGACGUUAUUGGCCUCUUCUUCACAGUGCCAACAUCGGUUGAAUGUGUAGCCUUCAUCGACUCAUUGAUGGAUGUCUAUCAACGACUUCGGGCAGACGGCAAAAAGUUCGAAGUGUUGCAGGUCGAUUGUUCACAGGUGGACGCCAUCCGCAAGCGGACUACCAGGAUAGAAACGACAACAACACCUCCCCCAUGGAGAAGUUUACAGGAAAUCUGCGUUGCCGGCUUAGCUAGCGCUUACCGUGUUCGUCGAGUACCCGCUCUUGUAAUUCUUCGCUCGAACGGAGAGGUGAUCUCGUUUGAUUACUGUUCGUCAUUGGACAAGCUCAGGUGCAGUUCUUGGGAAAGGUGGAUGGGCGAACACGUCAUUGACCGCAUGCCUCCCUUCAUAAUGACCAUUGAAAAUGUCAAUUAACACGCUAAUUCGAUGUGGAAAUGAAAACAGAACGUAGAUGGGGUCGACGCCACGUUUGUGCCGGUGCUUGUAGGACAGGAAUUUGCUUGGUCGGACAAUAAAAUAUGAACGAACUCUACUCCUCGAUGUAGUGUAAACGUCGAUUGAGGCAGUCUUGACUGCUUGUCGAUAGCUGUCCUGACUCUUGAGUGCCUGUGAGUCUAUACCCACAAGGCUAGUGUUGAAGCGGAAUCACCUUGUCGUUUGGAAGCAGCCGUGCGGUAGGCGGCGCUGAAGUGCUACUUGGGUCUGUCAAUAUGGGUGUGUAGGGCACAAGAGAGAGUGGUGCAACUUCGCGGAAGCGUGAGCAAAGUUUGAUAUCGUCAUUACCGGGUGGUAAUAUGUCGUGCAAUAUAUUUUUCUUUGUACAUGUUUGUGUGUAUUCGGAAGGCGACCUUUAUUCAGAGCAAUAAAGGCGGAAACAGUCGAAAAAAUGUAUUUCAGAGAAUUCCAAACAAAAUAAAACACA